rnacentral:lncRNA from 9 species
GCGUGCCCUGGCUCCACAGGGACCUGCCAGCCCUAGGGAACAAAAGCGGAGCCCCUUCUCGCCCUCUCCUGCAGCCAGAGGAUGAGUCGAGAGGGCUGAGCGGAGAGUGUGGUUCUUGGCGACUGGGCGGCGGAGAAGAACUGUAUUUUGGAAACACUUCUGGGAGCCCUAACUGAGCAGAGGCAGCAAGGCAAG